rnacentral:rRNA from 1 species
GAUGAACGCUGGCGGCGUGCCUAAUACAUGCAAGUCGAGCGAACAGACGAGGAGCUUGCUCCUCUGACGUUAGCGGCGGACGGGUGAUUAACACGUGGAUAACCUACCUAUAAGACUGGGAUAACUUCGGGAAACCGGAGCUAAUACCGGAUAAUAUAUUGAACCGCAUGGUUCAAUAGUGAAAGUCGGUUUUGCUGUCACUUAUAGCUGGAUCCGCGCCGCAUUAGCUAGUUGGUAAGGUAACGGCUUACCCAGGCAACGAUGCGUAGCCGACCUGAGAGGGUGAUCGGCCACACGGGAACUGAGACACGGUCCAGACACCUACGGGAGGCAGCAGUAGAGAAUCUUCCGCAAUGGGCGAAUGCCUGACGGAGCAACGCCGCGUGAGGGAUGAAGGUCUUCGGAUCGUAAAACUCUGUUAUUAGGGAAGAACAAAUGUGUAAGUAACUAUGCACGUCUUGACGGUACCUAAUCAGAAAGCCACGGCUAACUACGUG